rnacentral:rRNA from 5 species
UUAAGUUAUUAAGGGCGCACGGUGGAUGCCUUGGCACUAGAAGCCGAUGAAGGACGUUACUAACGACGAUAUGCUUUGGGGAGCUGUAAGUAAGCUUUGAUCCAGAGAUUUCCGAAUGGGGAAACCCAGCAUGAGUUAUGUCAUGUUAUCGAUAUGUGAAUACAUAGCAUAUCAGAAGGCACACCCGGAGAACUGAAACAUCUUAGUACCCGGAGGAAGAGAAAGAAAAUUCGAUUCCCUUAGUAGCGGCGAGCGAAACGGGAAGAGCCCAAACCAACAAGCUUGCUUGUUGGGGUUGUAGGACACUCUAUACGGAGUUACAAAGGACGACAUUAGACGAAUCAUCUGGAAAGAUGAAUCAAAGAAGGUAAUAAUCCUGUAGUCGAAAAUGUUGUCUCUCUUGAGUGGAUCCUGAGUACGACGGAACACGUGAAAUUCCGUCGGAAUCUGGGAGGACCAUCUCCUAAGGCUAAAUACUCUCUAGUGACCGAUAGUGAACCAGUACCGUGAGGGAAAGGUGAAAAGCACCCCGGAAGGGGAGUGAAAUAGAACCUGAAACCGUGUGCUUACAAGUAGUCAGAGCCCGUUAAUGGGUGAUGGCGUGCCUUUUGUAGAAUGAACCGGCGAGUUACGAUUUGAUGCAAGGUUAAGCAGUAAAUGUGGAGCCGUAGCGAAAGCGAGUCUGAAUAGGGCGUUUAGUAUUUGGUCGUAGACCCGAAACCAGGUGAUCUACCCUUGGUCAGGUUGAAGUUCAGGUAACACUGAAUGGAGGACCGAACCGACUUACGUUGAAAAGUGAGCGGAUGAACUGAGGGUAGCGGAGAAAUUCCAAUCGAACCUGGAGAUAGCUGGUUCUCUCCGAAAUAGCUUUAGGGCUAGCCUCAAGUGAUGAUUAUUGGAGGUAGAGCACUGUUUGGACGAGGGGCCCCUCUCGGGUUACCGAAUUCAGACAAACUCCGAAUGCCAAUUAAUUUAACUUGGGAGUCAGAACAUGGGUGAUAAGGUCCGUGUUCGAAAGGGAAACAGCCCAGACCACCAGCUAAGGUCCCAAAAUAUAUGUUAAGUGGAAAAGGAUGUGGCGUUGCCCAGACAACUAGGAUGUUGGCUUAGAAGCAGCCAUCAUUUAAAGAGUGCGUAAUAGCUCACUAGUCGAGUGACACUGCGCCGAAAAUGUACCGGGGCUAAACAUAUUACCGAAGCUGUGGAUUGUCCUUUGGACAAUGGUAGGAGAGCGUUCUAAGGGCGUUGAAGCAUGAUCGUAAGGACAUGUGGAGCGCUUAGAAGUGAGAAUGCCGGUGUGAGUAGCGAAAGACGGGUGAGAAUCCCGUCCACCGAUUGACUAAGGUUUCCAGAGGAAGGCUCGUCCGCUCUGGGUUAGUCGGGUCCUAAGCUGAGGCCGACAGGCGUAGGCGAUGGAUAACAGGUUGAUAUUCCUGUACCACCUAUAAUCGUUUUAAUCGAUGGGGGGACGCAGUAGGAUAGGCGAAGCGUGCGAUUGGAUUGCACGUCUAAGCAGUAAGGCUGAGUAUUAGGCAAAUCCGGUACUCGUUAAGGCUGAGCUGUGAUGGGGAGAAGACAUUGAGUCUUCGAGUCGUUGAUUUCACACUGCCGAGAAAAGCCUCUAGAUAGAAAAUAGGUGCCCGUACCGCAAACCGACACAGGUAGUCAAGAUGAGAAUUCUAAGGUGAGCGAGCGAACUCUCGUUAAGGAACUCGGCAAAAUGACCCCGUAACUUCGGGAGAAGGGGUGCUCUUUAGGGUUAACGCCCAGAAGAGCCGCAGUGAAUAGGCCCAAGCGACUGUUUAUCAAAAACACAGGUCUCUGCUAAACCGUAAGGUGAUGUAUAGGGGCUGACGCCUGCCCGGUGCUGGAAGGUUAAGAGGAGUGGUUAGCUUCUGCGAAGCUACGAAUCGAAGCCCCAGUAAACGGCGGCCGUAACUAUAACGGUCCUAAGGUAGCGAAAUUCCUUGUCGGGUAAGUUCCGACCCGCACGAAAGGCGUAACGAUUUGGGCACUGUCUCAACGAGAGACUCGGUGAAAUCAUAGUACCUGUGAAGAUGCAGGUUACCCGCGACAGGACGGAAAGACCCCGUGGAGCUUUACUGUAGCCUGAUAUUGAAAUUCGGCACAGCUUGUACAGGAUAGGUAGGAGCCUUUGAAACGUGAGCGCUAGCUUACGUGGAGGCGCUGGUGGGAUACUACCCUAGCUGUGUUGGCUUUCUAACCCGCACCACUUAUCGUGGUGGGAGACAGUGUCAGGCGGGCAGUUUGACUGGGGCGGUCGCCUCCUAAAAGGUAACGGAGGCGCUCAAAGGUUCCCUCAGAAUGGUUGGAAAUCAUUCAUAGAGUGUAAAGGCAUAAGGGAGCUUGACUGCGAGACCUACAAGUCGAGCAGGGUCGAAAGACGGACUUAGUGAUCCGGUGGUUCCGCAUGGAAGGGCCAUCGCUCAACGGAUAAAAGCUACCCCGGGGAUAACAGGCUUAUCUCCCCCAAGAGUUCACAUCGACGGGGAGGUUUGGCACCUCGAUGUCGGCUCAUCGCAUCCUGGGGCUGUAGUCGGUCCCAAGGGUUGGGCUGUUCGCCCAUUAAAGCGGUACGCGAGCUGGGUUCAGAACGUCGUGAGACAGUUCGGUCCCUAUCCGUCGUGGGCGUAGGAAAUUUGAGAGGAGCUGUCCUUAGUACGAGAGGACCGGGAUGGACAUACCUCUGGUGUACCAGUUGUCGUGCCAACGGCAUAGCUGGGUAGCUAUGUGUGGACGGGAUAAGUGCUGAAAGCAUCUAAGCAUGAAGCCCCCCUCAAGAUGAGAUUUCCCAACUUCGGUUAUAAGAUCCCUCAAAGAUGAUGAGGUUAAUAGGUUCGAGGUGGAAGCAUGGUGACAUGUGGAGCUGACGAAUACUAAUCGAUCGAAGACUUAAUCAA